rnacentral:rRNA from 1 species
UACGGAGGGUGCAAGCGUUAUCCGGAUUCACUUGGGUUUAAAGGGUGCGUAGGUGGGCAGGUAAGUCAGUGGUGAAAUCUCCGAGCUUAACUCGGAAACUGCCGUUGAUACUAUUUGUCUUGAAUAUUGUGGAGGUAAGCGGAAUAUGUCAUGUAGCGGUGAAAAUGCUUAGAUAUGACAUAGAACACCAAUUGCGAAGGCAGCUUACUACACAACGAUUUGACGUGAGGCACGGAAAAGCGUGGGGGAUCAAAACAGG